UACGUAGGGUCCGAGCGUUGUCCGGAAUUACUGGGCGUAAAGAGCUCGUAGGUGGUUUGUCGCGUUGUUCGUGAAAACUCACAGCUUAACUGUGGGCGUGCGGGCGAUACGGGCGAGACUAGAGUACUGCAGGGGAGACUGGAAUUCCUGGUGUAGCGGUGGAAUGCGCAGAUAUCAGGAGGGAACACCGAGUGGCGAAGGCAGGUCUCUGGGCCACUACUGACGCUGAGAAGCGAAAGCAUGGGGGAGCGAAACAGG
rnacentral:rRNA from 1 species